GACUAACGCUGGCGGCGUGCCUAACACAUGCAAGUCGAACGAAGCAGCAAUGCUUAGUGGCAGACGGGUGAGUAACGCGUAGAUAAUGUGCCCUCUUGCGGGGGAUACCGUUUCGAAAGGAACGUUAAUACCGCAUAAAGUCCUUAGGAGGCAUCUCUUAGGGAUCAAACUUCCGGGGCGGGAGGAGCAAUCUGCGUACUAUCAGCUAGUUGGUGAGGUAAUGGCUCACCAAGGCUACGACGGUUAACUGGUCUGGAGAGGAUGAUCAGUCACGCUGGAACUGAGACACGGUCCAGACUCCUAC
rnacentral:rRNA from 1 species